rnacentral:rRNA from 1 species
GAUGAACGCUGGCGGCGUGCCUAAUACAUGCAAGUCGAGCGAAGCGGGGACGGGGGAGUAAAACGUGGAUAACCUCCUAUAAGACUGGGAUAACUUCGGGAAACCGGAGCUAAACCGGAUACUUAUAGAUGGUACCGCGCUGCAUUAGAUAGUUGGUAAGGUAACGGCUGAACAAGGCAAUGAUUCAUAGCAGACCUGAGAGGUGGAUGCGCCCCACUGGAACUGAGACCCGGUCCAGACUCCUACGGGGGGCAGCAGUGGGGAAUCUUCCGCAAUGGGCGAAAGCCUACUGGAGCAACGCCGCGUGAGUGAAGAAGGUCUUCGGAUCGUAAAACUCUGUUAUUGGGGAGGCGUUACCUAAACAGGAAGCCACGGCUAACUACGUGCCAGCAGCCGCGGUAAUAC